CCUCAUGAUUGCUGCCUCUUUUGGCUUUUUGGCUAUUGGCUUCUGCUAUUCUCGUCUUCAUCUUUAAUCGCUGUCCUUAUUGUAAACUUAACCAAUAAUUCAAAGUCUCCGGUUAUCUAGUCAAUUUUCUGAUCCCUUCGCCUCUCAAAUCUCAUCAAGUUCCAAUCUUUUUAUUUCUUCUCAUGUCUUUCGCCCGAUUAGAAGUUCACACACUUGAAUCAAGAUCGAAUGAUCGCUUCACUAUGAUUGCUGGGUCGAAAGAUCUCGACUUUAUAACCGGAGGAGCUAAGUGAAAUAGAUUUGGGAUUUUUAGAUUCAUUAUUCCUUGAUGGGGAAGUGAGGUUGGCUGAGAUUUUUCCAUUUAUCAUAGGUGCACUUCUCUCCGCAAUGUUUAUGCUGUUCAGCAUACUUAAUCAGCUAAGCUGUCAAGAAACUGGUAUCUGUAUUUGAACUACAGUGGAUGGCUGAUCGUAAUGCUAAUGUCCGACCUCCGAAUGGCAAGCCUUCAGGAGGCACCAAUCCUUAUUUGAUUGAUCUGGAUAAUUUUACUAAACGGUUGAAAAUGCUAUAUUUGCAUUGGAGUGAAAACAACAUCGAACUUUGGGGUGCUUCUGAUGCUCUUGCUGUAGCAACACCUCCUCCUUCUGAGGAUCUGCGGUACCUGAAGUCAACUGCACUAAAUAUCUGGCUGGUUGGUUAUGAGUUCCCAGAGACCAUUAUGGUUUUCAUGAAGAAGCAGGUGCAUUUCUUAUGUAGUCAGAAAAAGGCUUCUUUGCUUGAUGUUGUGAAGAAACCUGCCAAGGAAUCUAUUGGUGUUGAAGUUGUGAUGCAUGUGAAGACCAAAAGUGAUGAUGGAAGUAGCUUGAUGGAUAACAUUUUCAAUGCUGUCCAUGCUUCUAGCGGUGACAAAACUCCUGUCAUUGGACACAUAGCAAGAGAAAGUCCAGAAGGGAAGCUUUUGGAGAUUUGGGAUAAAAAGUUGAAGAAUGGGAAUUGUGAAUUAAGUGAUGUGACAAAUGGGUUCUCAGACUUAUUUGCUGUUAAGGACAACACUGAACUUACAUAUGUGAGGAAAGCAGCAUUCUUGACUUCAUCGGUGAUGAAGCAGUUUGUGGUGCCAAAGCUUGAAAAGGUCAUUGAUGAGGAGAAGAAGAUCACUCAUUCUUCAUUUAUGGAUGAGACAGAGAAGGCAAUUCUAGAACCUGCUAGAAUUAAGGUGAAGCUGAAGGCAGAGAAUAUUGACAUUUGUUACCCUCCAAUUUUCCAGAGUGGGGGAGAGUUUGAUCUGAAACCAAGUGCUGCAAGCAAUGAUGAUAAUCUUUACUACGACUCCACUAGUGUUAUUAUAUGUGCAAUUGGGUCCCGUUAUAAUAGCUACUGCUCAAAUGUUGCUAGAACUUUUCUGAUUGAUGCGAAUUCCAUGCAGAGCAAGGCAUAUGAAGUCCUGCUUAGAGCCCAGGAGGCAGCAAUUAGCGCAUUGAAAUCUGGGAACCAAGUUAGUGCUGUUUAUCUAGCAGCUCUCUCUGUAGUUGAGAAGGAUGCCCCUGAAUUAGCUGCAAACUUGACUAAAACUGCAGGAACUGGAAUUGGCCUUGAGUUUCGCGAGUCAGGGCUGAGUCUUAGCUCCAAGAACAAUAGAAUUUUGAGACCAGGAAUGGUUUUCAAUGUGUCGCUUGGCUUUCAAAAUUUGCACACAGAGACUAACAAACCAAAGACGCAGAAAUUUUCAGUGUUACUUGCAGAUACAGUGAUUGUUGGUGAAAAGCUACCAGAUGUAGUGACUUCAAAGAGUUCUAAGGCUUUCAAGGAUGUGGCUUAUUCAUUCAACGAGGAUGACGACGAAGAAGAAGAGCUCUCAAAAGCGAGAGUUGAAGUUAAAGGUGGUGAGGCCACCUUGUCGAAGGCAACACUCAGGUCAGACAACCAUGAAAUGUCGAAGGAAGAACUACGAAGGCAGCACCAGGCUGAACUUGCCCGCCAAAAGAAUGAAGAGACUGCCAGGAGGCUUGCUGGUGGGGGUUCUUCUGCUUCAGAUAAUCGUGGUUCUGUUAAGAUGAUUGGCGACUUGAUUGCAUAUAAGAAUGUGAAUGACCUACCCCCUCCAAGAGAUUUGAUGAUUCAGGUUGACCAGAAGAAUGAAGCCAUCCUAAUACCAAUACAUGGAAGCAUGGUCCCAUUCCAUGUUGCCACUGUCAAGAGUGUGUCGAGCCAGCAGGACAGCAAUAGAACAUGCUACAUACGGAUAACAUUUAAUGUUCCUGGAACCCCUUUCAGUCCUCAUGAUGCAAACACUCUUAAGUUUCAAGGCUCAAUUUAUCUGAAGGAAAUUUCAUUUCGAUCCAAGGACUCUAGACACAUAAGCGAAGUGGUACAGCAGAUUAAAACCCUGCGGCGACAGGUCACUUCCAGAGAGUCUGAGAGAGCUGAGAGGGCAACAUUAGUUACUCAGGAAAAGCUGCAACUUGCAUCUACCAAGUUCAAGCCCAUAAAAUUGUAUGAUUUAUGGAUUCGCCCUGUUUUUGGUGGUCGUGGAAGAAAGCUGACUGGUUCACUCGAAGCCCAUGUAAAUGGGCUUCGCUAUUCAACUUCAAGGCCUGAUGAACGUAUUGAUGUUAUGUACAGUAACAUCAAGCACGCAUUCUUCCAGCCAGCGGAUAAGGAAAUGAUCACUCUUCUGCAUUUUCAUUUGCAUAAUCACAUAAUGGUAGGGAACAAAAAGACCAAAGAUGUUCAAUUUUUUAUUGAAGUGAUGGAUAUAGUCCAGACACUUGGAGGAGGAAAGAGAUCUGCCUACGACCCGGAUGAGAUUGAGGAAGAACAGCGAGAGAGGGAUAGAAAGAAUAAAAUAAACAUGGACUUCCAAAACUUUGUGAACCGGGUGAAUGAUGUUUGGGGCCAACCACAAUUCAGAGGACUUGACCUUGAGUUUGAUCAGCCCUUGAGAGAGCUUGGGUUUCAUGGGGUUCCUCACAAAGCCUCAGCUUUCAUUGUCCCUACAUCAAGCUGUCUGGUUGAACUGAUAGAGACACCUGUUGUCGUAAUCACCCUGAGUGAGAUCGAGAUAGUUAAUCUGGAGAGAAUUGGUCUUGGACAGAAGAACUUUGAUAUGACUAUUGUAUUUAAAGACUUCAAGAGGGACGUCCUUCGGAUAGACUCCAUUCCAUCCACAUCGCUGGACAGCAUCAAAGAGUGGCUUAACACAACUGACCUCAAGUAUUAUGAGAGCAGACUAAAUCUGAACUGGCGGCCUAUAUUGAAAACUAUCACUGAUGAUCCUGAAAAAUUCAUAGAAGAUGGUGGAUGGGAAUUUUUAAACAUGGAGGUUAGUGACUCAGAUUCUGAGAACUCAGCAGACUCCGAUCAUGGCUAUGUGCCUUCAGACGUGCAAUCUGACUCAGGAUCUGAAGACGAGGAUGACGGCAGUGAGUCACUGGUGGAGUCUGAGGAUGAUGAGGAUGAGGACUCUGAGGAAGAUUCAGAAGAGGAUGAGGGGAAGACGUGGGAAGAGUUGGAGAGAGAAGCAAGCUAUGCAGACAGGGAGAAGGGGGAUGACUCAGAUAGUGAGGAAGAGAGAAAAAGAAGGAAGAUGAAGGCAUUUGGUAAGGCUCGAGCGCCACUAUCUCGGGCACCACCGCCUCGAGCACCACUAUCUCGGGCACCACUGCCUCGAGCACCACCAUCUCGGGCACCACCGCCUCGAGCACCUGAUAGAAGAAAUUCUGGGGGUAGUCUUCCCAAAAGACCCAAAUUAAGAAGAACCACGCUUGAGAGAAAUGAAGGCAAGGAACAAGAUCCAAGAGUGUAGGUACGCUCUUUAAUAUUUGGUACUGUUAACUCUUUUUCAAUUUUACCUUAAUAGCCAAAAUAUUGAUUUGAUUGUGUGUUUAGUUGUGGUUUGGAGAAAAAAAGAAACAAUAGUAGUGGAUAGGUGGAGGAUGUUGUAAUUGAAGCAGCCAAGUUCCAUUAUAUGAAAGGAUGUGAUUCUCUAUAUCUUUUAGGGUAAUUUGAUCGAUGCUGGUUAGCAGAAUUUCAAAUAGAUGCUAUAGAGAAUGCACAAUGAAUUAGUAGCUUAUGUUUCUCUCAUACAGACUUGCACUAUUGAAAGCUUGAUAUUGCAAAAAGGAGAGAAAGCUACCAAUAAGAGGCAUUAAAAUCCAAAGUAUCUGUUAAAUGCCAUUAAACUUCAGAUUCUAUGGUAUCAUCAAUGCAUCACACAUGCACCUGCUCGUUUUGUUUGUCAUAUGAGCAUAUCUAAUUACACUAUUCUUUGUUUUUGCAUACAAGGAAAAAUGAAUCCUAAUUCAGUUAAAUCCACUUUGUCUAGUUUAGCCUUUGGCAAUGUAAUAGCAGCUGCUGCUUGCAAUCAUCAGAAGGAAUUUCUCACUCAAGAGAAGACACACUGGCAGCAAGUUCUAUCAACUAAGAGGUUGACCUUGAUGAGUUGAUGGAUGAAAGAUUUAAUGGAUUUUGAACUGGAUAAACUGCAGGCGGACAUGAUUGCAGCUCUUAAGGUAAUUAGUUUAAAAAUUGUAUGAUUUAUUGCAUGCAGCUCUUGGGUGAAGUCACCGGCAGUGAGCACAUGAUUUGCCAUUUCUACCACAGAGAGUUCUAUCAUGCAAGUAAGGCUUUCACUUCAAGUUCUCUGUGUCAGAGGCACACUCGUACAUAUUCAUUUGUAUGAACUUGUUUUAUUUUAUGUAACUUUUUUGGGUCACGGUCUCACAUUUAAUGAUAUGUUGAUUGGUUAUUUGUGGAUAAUGGAUAAGCAUUUGAAGGCUCUUGCAUCAAGGCAUCUUGAUACCAAGUUCAUCAAGCUGGGCGCAGAAUUCUGUGCUUGACUUUUCAUUUCUACUUUGCUUCUGAACUGAAAUUUUGAUUUACUCCUCACAAAUACAUGGCUUUUCUAAUGAGUUGCCUAUGGUAUUGUAAGAAUCUUUAAUGAACUGCAGAAUGUACCCUCUUUGUUGCCAAGCUUGGAGUCAAGACUAUACCUCUUGUCAUAUACUGUUCAGGUCUGCCAUAUUUAGCACCUUUAUUCCUACCAUAGCUUACUGGGGUCCUUUUUACACUGUGAUAACAUUGUUCUGUUUGAUUUCCCUGAGCACAGAAGAUUUGAGAAAGCUGGUAUUUGAUAGUUAAUUAAUACCAUCCUUAUCUGCAUGAUUUUUGAAUCUGUGGCUAUGUAUUUGAUAAUAAAGGAUUGAAUAGAUUAGCUGUGGAAUAUUCAGAAGUUAUCUCAGACAACCAUAAUAAAUAUAGGAACACCAUCAGAACUUACAUUUCAAUGCAUAUUGGUGACCUACAUAUUGAAAUUUUGCAUCAAUAUAUUUUAGACUUGGGAAGUUGCAUUGCAUUGUUUAUUAAAUAUUAUCCUGAAAGAACGCCAGUGUUUUCAUUAGGAAAGGGAUUGCAAUUGAUUAGACUCAUUGGGCUUUAAGAUUUGGGAGGAACAGGUAACUUCACCACAAAAACAAAUGGAGAUUCUUCUGAUAAAGAAAGGUAAACGUCCAGUUUGCUAUGCAAUUAGCAGUUCUAUGGAGAAAAGUCUCAUCUUACAGAUACAUAAUCAGUGAGAAGAAAGAUAAUGAAGACGAUGAUUAUCACGGAAGCAAGCAGGCGAAGGACAGUAAGAUCGUCUGUGCCGACUCCAAUUCUGAUUGAAAUCAAAAUACUAUAAAAGAAACUACAAAUUCGUACCUUUGUAUUUCUUUUAAAUGUGGUUGUAUGACUAUUUUUUGCAUGCUAUUCUUCUAUGUGCUAUCUCCUUCAGUUUUUAUUUCCUCUUUAAGUUCAAUAGAGAAAUAACAUAACAGAAGAAAGAAAAUAUAAUCCCAUGUAAACAAUGGGAUGGAUAAGAUGAUAGUAGAGGCAUCAUCUUCCCUUUUCACGCCAUGCACAUGUUAGUUCAACUGAAUUCUUCAGUCGCCUAACCACCAAUGCCAAUCGAAAUGCCAAAAUGCUUCUUCACACUUUCCUGUUUGUAGUAUCCAUUUUGUCCUUAAUUAGUUUCUUCCAAUAUCAUCCAACUAAACCAUUUAAGGAGGAGAUGCAUUUUGGAAAGCAGUUUUCCAACACUUCCUUUGGCAGGAAAGCUAAAGGAAAUUGUCAAUCACAACACUGUUUUGAUAGGGUGGAAUUGAACAGGAAAUAUAGGAAAACAAAAGAAAGAAAACUAUUUUCUUUUUUUCCUUAUUCUUAGAAGAACAAAUGCUACAUUUCUUUUCUUUUCAUCAUCCAAAUGAAAUUCCAAAAUAAAACUAAGAUUUUAGUUUCUUUUCAUUUCAUUUUCCUCUUCUAAUGCUCUUUAUUUUUUCUGUGCAUAUCUAGUGCACCAACACAUGGGUAAAUAAGUGUAUGAUUAUUUCACACUUCAAUGAGAAAACAUAGCCACAAGACACCCAUCAUAGGGAAAUAGUAUUUAUUUUUACUACUCUACUUUCCAAUUUUACCAAAGUAACCACCACAUCAUAAAGAUUUGUACAUCAACCAAACACCCAUAUUCCAUUUAUGAAGGGGUAGUUGAGGAAAUUGUGAAAUUAAAUUGUAAUAUUAUUGGCCCACACUCUUAGUUUGGUUUGGUGAUUAUAAUUUUAGAAAUUGGCUCCAACUUCUCCCCUGCCCAAAUCGCCCACUAACCAACCAACACCCAACUCUCUUUCUCCACUCCACUCUCCAAUCUCCAUCUUCUUCUUGUUGUUGCGUUUG